GGGUUGUGAGGUUAAGCGACUAAGCGUACACGGUGGAUGCCCUGGCAGUCAGAGGCGAUGAAGGGCGUGCUAAUCUGCGAUAAGCGCCGGUAAGGUGAUAUGAACCGUUAUAACCGGCGAUACCCGAAUGGGGAAACCCAGUGUGAUUCGUCACACUAUCAUUAACUGAAUCCAUAGGUUAAUGAGGCGAACCGGGGGAACUGAAACAUCUAAGUACCCCGAGGAAAAGAAAUCAACCGAGAUUCCCCCAGUAGCGGCGAGCGAACGGGGAGGAGCCCAGAGCCUGAAUCAGCAUGUGUGUUAGUGGAAGCGUCUGGAAAGGCGCGCGAUACAGGGUGACAGCCCCGUACACAAAAGCGCAUGUGCUGUGAGCUCGAUGAGUAGGGCGGGACACGUGGUAUCCUGUCUGAAUAUGGGGGGACCAUCCUCCAAGGCUAAAUACUCCUGACUGACCGAUAGUGAACCAGUACCGUGAGGGAAAGGCGAAAAGAACCCCGGCGAGGGGAGUGAAAAAGAACCUGAAACCGUGUACGUACAAGCAGUGGGAGCACCCUUCGGGGUGUGACUGCGUACCUUUUGUAUAAUGGGUCAGCGACUUAUAUUCUGUAGCAAGGUUAACCGUAUAGGGGAGCCGGAGGGAAACCGAGUCUUAACCGGGCGUUAAGUUGCAGGGUAUAGACCCGAAACCCGGUGAUCUAGCCAUGGGCAGGUUGAAGGUUGGGUAACACUAACUGGAGGACCGAACCGACUAAUGUUGAAAAAUUAGCGGAUGACCUGUGGCUGGGGGUGAAAGGCCAAUCAAACCGGGAGAUAGCUGGUUCUCCCCGAAAGCUAUUUAGGUAGCGCCUCGUGAAUUCAUCUCCGGGGGUAGAGCACUGUUUCGGCUAGGGGGCCAUCCCGGCUUACCAACCCGAUGCAAACUGCGAAUACCGGAGAAUGUUAUCACGGGAGACACACGGCGGGUGCUAACGUCCGUCGUGAAGAGGGAAACAACCCAGACCGCCAGCUAAGGUCCCAAAGUCAUGGUUAAGUGGGAAACGAUGUGGGAAGGCCCAGACAGCCAGGAUGUUGGCUUAGAAGCAGCCAUCAUUUAAAGAAAGCGUAAUAGCUCACUGGUCGAGUCGGCCUGCGCGGAAGAUGUAACGGGGCUAAACCAUGCACCGAAGCUGCGGCAGCGAACGUAUCACCCAAGACAACUUUACGGAGUUGACGAUUGACGGAGCGAAGCGACGUCAAAGCGUUCAUUAAAGUCGAGUUGGCUUAGGGAUACGUUCGUUGGGUAGGGGAGCGUUCUGUAAGCCUGUGAAGGUGUGUCGUGAGGCAUGCUGGAGGUAUCAGAAGUGCGAAUGCUGACAUAAGUAACGAUAAAGCGGGUGAAAAGCCCGCUCGCCGGAAGACCAAGGGUUCCUGUCCAACGUUAAUCGGGGCAGGGUGAGUCGACCCCUAAGGCGAGGCCGAAAGGCGUAGUCGAUGGGAAACGGGUUAAUAUUCCCGUACUUGGUGUUACUGCGAAGGGGGGACGGAGAAGGCUAUGUUGGCCGGGCGACGGUUGUCCCGGUUUAAGCGUGUAGGUGUGUGUUCCAGGUAAAUCCGGUU
rnacentral:rRNA from 2 species